UGUGACUCGUUGGGUUGCUGGACGGCGGAACGCUUUGUUUGGGGACCGCCGGUUUUGAGUUUGACACACACAUUCAAGUAACAAUGUUGAAAAAAUUGCUGGUACUUUUCGUGCUUGCGGCAUUCAUCGUUUGCGUUUUUGGCAUUCCCGUCGACAAAAAGGAGAAGGAGGUGAAAAAGCCAAUUGAUCCCUUUGUUAUUAAGAGCAUCAUCAACGUGCCUUGUCAAGAUGGGUUUGUCAAAGUUGGAGACGUUUGCGUACCAAUCGUCUAACAUUCCGACAUUAAGCCGCCAAACAUUUGUCUAGUGUUAUUUUUAAUGUGUAUUUAGUGUAAUUAAUAAAUAAAGAUGUUAAAAUAAAUUGUUUUGAUUGUCUGCCCAACGAAAUUUUUAUUUAUUAUAGAUAAGAUAAGAUGAACUAUAUAAAAUUAACAUUUCUGUAAGUUUCGACGCCGUGCCACAAAAUGAGAACUUUAUUUUUCAUACUGUUCUUGGUGAUUUUUGCAAUAGUUUCCGCCAACGUUGGAGGAAACGCUGGGAAAAUCGUUCCAUUUAGGAAAACUGGCAGGACGUUAAUAAAGGCACCCUGUCAGAAGGGGUACAUAAAAGUAGGAACCAUUUGUGUUCCAACUGUCACUGAAUCCAGAUAAAACUGCAAUGGGAAACUGAGCACAACCCACAUUUGACCCAUCAGCAAUAAUUAUUAGUUAUUGUACCUAUUUAUGUAGUGGAUGCAUCUAAAAAUAAAAAUAUAAAUAAAUAAAAAUCAUAUUCUUGGUAUUAUUAUACACACUCAAUUGUUUGGGCACUUAAUUAAAGAUAAAGGUGCCAAUUCAAUUGAAUUAUUCUGACAAUCUUUUAUUGGAUACAAUUUUGUUUCAAAAUUACUUUUUUAUAUCCGGUUCUAAUUAAAUUUUCGAUAAAACACUCAACCAGCGAAUAGAUAACGUUCCUUAUAAAUGACGAUAAGGCAAAUUGAUUAUUACUUCUUAAAAUGGCAAAGUUCCUUCAAUUUCUGCUUCUCUUGUCCUUCAUCCUGGCGAUUUUUGCUGCACAAAAAGGGGCUAAAGUAGAUGUGAUAUGUGAAGAUGGUUACGUUAAAGUUGAGGGUGAUUGUCUUCCAACUAUUGGAAAACUUCUGAAUAUAACUGUUAAGGGAAACUGAGAACAACCCACAUUUGACCCAUCAAUAAUAAUUAUUAGUUAAUGUACCUAUUUAUGGAGUGGAUACGUCUAAAAAUAAAAAAAUAAAUAAAUAAAAAACA